UGGGAAUGGGAAUGGGGCCGGGAGUCAGCGGGGUUGCGUGAGAUUCGCAGAAUAUUCUGAGUUGGAAGGGAUCCACAAGGAUUCUCGAGUCCAGCUCUUAAGUAAGUGUCCCAUAUGGGGAUUGCACCCACCACUUUGGGGUUAUCAGCACCGUGUUCUAACCAACAGCAGCUACAGAAAAUUAACAAAUUUAACUACAAAUACCAAUGUAUUCAAUGAACCCACACAUCACCAUGAGGACAUCACAACAUCCCAGCUAUGUACCGCUUUGCUUGAGGAUUUUGAAGCCCAGAUUGCCUAGUCUGGUGCAAAUAUUUCUGGUGGAGACAUACAGGUGCAAACUCUACCAUUUGACAAGCAGGAUUAAAAGUAAGAUCAGGAUACACCUGCUGAAAUGCGUGAAACUGAUACGGCGUGUCGAAUUUCAGGUUGCCCUGAAAUGGACCAAGGUAAAAAUGAGUUAUAUAGCAUUGGAGAUGAAAAGAAUGAAAUCAAAGAAAAUCUUGCAAAAAAUUACUGCCUUGUUGCCUGUGUAUUAGAUGUCUUAAAAUAAGAGUCCUUGCUGUUGUAACACCAGCCCAAGUAUGAUCCUUAUGCAUCUCACUCCUGUGAAAUGAACACCUUGUUUGGAGAAGUAGCAGCUUAUUUUCAACUUUAGGAACUCUACAGUGCUGACUUCUCUUCCAUAUUCCAAGAGAAAGGACAGAUAAGCCCAGUCUGUGUCUCUUUAAUGUCUGUCACAUUUCCAGCAUGAGAACCCAGACGUUUGCUGGGGUAAUUAAAAGGCUCAAUCAAGGUGUAAACAUCAUAGGAAAAUCAGUUGAAAGCUGGAUCUAAAGGCUCAACUCACCCUGUGGAAGAUGCUUGUGCCUUUAAGCUGGGUUCUGAGAGAAAGCAGCUUUUCUGAAUGUGUGGAAUGUAGCACUGGAGCUGAAAGAUGCUGAGAAAAUCCAUUUAAAGGGUCAUAAUGUGGAUCAUGGCUUUGAAUGUGUUUAUUGUCACAUGACUGAGUAGAUCUUAAUGGAAAGUCAUUGAAUAUCACACAUGUGGAUAAAAGAAACGUACCAGUGCUUCAUCUGUGAAAGUGCUUUUACGUCACUUUAUAAAGUGCCUGGAAAGUGCCCAGAAACAGCCAUCAGAGGAAGCUUCAUCUCAGUGCACAUCAUCUGAAACUGAGCAGAUAAGCACUCUUCAUGACACUUUCUUGGCAUUAUCAGGAUAUGGUUACGUGCCCACACAGUGAUUUUACCACUAUUUUAACCAACUGGCUUUUAAUACAACUAAGGACUGGAUCAAGGUCUGCAAGCAUCUGUGCAAGCACAGGUAUUUUGAUUCCAAAAGUGAAUCCUAAAACUUGUCAAAUGUUGAAAAGAAAUCAAAACUACCACCCCAAAAAAAAAUUAAGAGGACUCUCAAUACAGGUCAAAAAGCCAAGCACUCCUCUGUCUGGGUCCUGUCACAUACAGACCCUUUAGAGUUGUUGGCUUCAGCUCCAUCACAGCAUCCUUACAUGUGGUAAGGUUGGUGGUGUCUUGACUGAUCCAUGCUGGAUCAACAUUGGAGAGUCAGGUUAAAAAACCCCUAAACAGCACAACAAAUGAACAAACAAAAACCAACCCAAACAAAUGACUUUUCUUGAGAAGCUCUAUUUUAUGUGUGUUUCACAAACUUAGCACAGAAUGACGAGCAAGGUUUAUUUUCUCUACAAUUUUGUGUCACUUGAAAGUUUCAUAUCUCAGAUUUUUAAGUCUUUCCAUCACUGAUGACAUUAUAAAAUACUGGUAUAGUGUAUUUUGGGUUUCCUUUUGAAUUAAUUUACUUAGCUUAUUUCUUAAGUGGCAAUCCAGAGAAGAGUUGAAGGAGCAUAUGGAAAACUACAGAACUGCUACCCCCUUUUGUCCUCAUUUUGGGAUCAAGUAUUCAAAACCAGACAUCAGUUGAGUGGACAUUAAAAACAAAUCCAUCAUGAGGAAACAACAAACCCACAAAUGAAAGAGAGGAAGAGAAGAAAGAAGCCUGAAGAUCAUCCUGUGUGUUUCAACAAAAAAGCACUUGAAAAGAAGGAUUUGAGCUAGUUUAAAUGCAGUAUGUACAGUAGGUAUGAUCUGUAUUAUAGCAAAACUUGCUAUUUUGUUUCUUAAUUGCAGAAUAUUUGGUAAUCUGGCACAUUUAUUUAUUUGCUGAUUUACUUACAUAUUUUUAUACAAAAGUUGCUCUUAGAUAGCCUGAACAAAAAUAAAAGUAGCUGCCUCCUACUUGAUUUGUGAUAUUACCAGUUUUUGCAAUAAAUUAAGCAUGUGCUGAUCAAAAGGUGCAGCUAAAGUUUUCUGCUUUAGUUUGUUAAAGGCAAUAACAAAGUACUGCCACUGAAAUAGGUUAUUUCAGGAGCCAAGAGAAAUUCUGUGAGACUUCUUGGAAUUCUGCAAGUUAACUAGCAGCUUCCUUGAAGUCAUGGCUGCGUUUUUAAGAGGAAUAUUAACUGAAGCAGCAGUUUUAUCAGUUAGUGUAAAAUUAUACCUGUCUGCACUUGUAAGAGUUAACACCAAGACUGACCUCAAGUGCAUCCUUUUUUCCAAAGAGAUUUUGAGAAGGCAUUUGAUGCUUUCCUGUUACUCAGAAAAGAUGUCUUUUUCUUUGAUAAAGAAGAUAAUAAUCUCUAGCAGCCACCUGUCCAUGAGUUGACACUACAAAGUAUUCUGAUAACUUUUCUAAUAUUUAGGUAGAGAAGCUUGUGUACAUCUCUUUCUCUAGAUUUUGUCUAAGUAUGUGCUUUUGGCUUGGGGUGUUUUCUCUUUUUGUUGUUUUUUAUGGCCAUAUAUAUCUGUUACAUUGUCAGAAAACAUUUUUACAAUAGUAUAACUAGAGAAAUCACUUUCUUACUUUCACAGUUGUGUAUCAUAAAUUAUUUCAAAUAAUCAAAGUUUGUUUCUCCAAAGGUUUCUUUAUCCCACUGUUUUCUAGGACUUAAAUAAUUGUCUAUACUGAAUCUGGCUUUCCUCAUUUGUUAUUGCUCAUGUGGAAAUAAAUACAUGUUUUAGUAGCUCUCUGAAAUUUAUACAAUAAAAAGAAAGUAAAAAUGGAGUUUGUGUUGGGUUAGUCAAAGGUCUAAUUGCUUGCAGUGAGCUGUUGCAUUUUUGUUAGUAAGUAGGGAGCAGACCAAUGUGCUGAUAAUGUACCUUGCACACAGGCAUCAGUCUUCUGGGUUUUUUUAAAAUCAAGUAGUCAGCUAACAAAACUUGUCUCUGAAGUGGCAGAAGUGUAAUGUUAAGCAUGUUAUAUCAUUACAACAGUUACUUGUGAACCAGAGGAGUAUGACAAUCCAAAUUUUAUCUGAGGUUACAUAUGAAAUGUGACUCCUGAUGUAUGCACUACAACUCUUGUUUUGUAAGAAAAAUGAGUGUUUAUGGACUGGGUCUCUGGAGCUCUCCCUGGAACCCUGAAGAUUAAGAACUUACUUAACUUUUCAUACCUAUUUCUGACUUGAGCUUUGCUUGACUUUUGGACAGCAAAACAAACUUUAUGUCAACACUGUUCCUUUCCUUCAGCCCCCUGAGGUGCAAACUCAUAAAACUGGCAUUAGCUGUAGUCCCAGCCUGCAGCUGUCUCGUAAUUCUUGCCAUGAAGGCCCCAUCCCCACAGCAGAAUGGGAUCUGUUGGGAAUCACAGCCAGCUCAGUGGUGUGUCCUGCAGCACAGAUGGAAUAGCUGAUGGCAGAAGGGCGUAAGGAUAACCCUGCUGUGCUGACUGUGACUUGAGAGCUCUGUGUGCCCUGCACAGAGUUCCAGCGUGCUAGAGGAAGCUGCCUCAUUUUCUCUUUGUCCCACAGUUGUCUCUCGUUAUGCCCAGAUUAACAGACACACAUGAGAUGUGUAUUUUAGAGUCUAUAGGUUCUGUAAAACUUCAAGGAAUUCCUGUGAACUAAAAGAGAUCUUUGUCAGGGGUUACCAGCAAAGUGUUGGAAGCAGGACCUGGAAACCCAGCUGUUUUCCUGGGCGUCCUGUGGCGCUUUUUUUUUUUUCCUCCAGGAGGGGGCAGCAGAUGAACAACAUCAGGGGCUGUUUUUUACUUUGAAACGCUUUUUCCAGUGUCCCUCUCUGCCUGAGAAUCCCAGCUGGAGCUCCAUACCGAUGGGAGAGUUUAAAAUUAUGAUUCCUACCUGUUUGCUACAAGAAUAGCUGGAAUGUAUGUCUGGAAAGUCUUCAUUCUUUUUAGUAUUAAACAGUAGAAUUUCUUUAGUAAAAUCUAUC